rnacentral:rRNA from 1 species
AGAGUUUGAUCAUGGCUCAGGAUGAACGCUAGCGGCAGGCUUAAUACAUGCAAGUCGAGGGGCAGCAUGAGUGUAGCAAUACAUUUGAUGGCGACCGGCAAACGGGUGCGGAACACGUACACAACCUUCCUAUAAGUGGGGAAUAGCCCAGAGAAAUUUGGAUUAAUACCCCGUAACAUAAUGAUGUGGCAUCACAUUAUUAUUAUAGCUACGGCGCUUAUUGAUGGGUGUGCGGCUGAUUAGAUAGUUGGCGGGGUAACGGCCCACCAAGUCUACGAUCAGUAGCUGAUGUGAGAGCAUGAUCAGCCACACGGGCACUGAGACACGGGCCCGACUCCUACGGGAGGCAGCAGUAAGGAAUAUUGGUCAAUGGACGCAAGUCUGAACCAGCCAUGCCGCGUGAAGGAUUAAGGUCCUCUGGAUUGUAAACUUCUUUUAUCUGGGACGAAAAAAGGCUAUUCUUAGUCACUUGACGGUACCAGAUGAAUAAGCACCGGCUAACUCCGUGCCAGCAGCCGCGGUAAUACGGAGGGUGCAAGCGUUAUCCGGAUUCACUGGGUUUAAAGGGUGCGUAGGCGGGCAGGUAAGUCAGUGGUGAAAUCCUGGAGCUUAACUCCAGAACUGCCAUUGAUACUAUCUGUCUUGAAUAUUGUGGAGGUAAGCGGAAUAUGUCAUGUAGCGGUGAAAUGCUUAGAUAUGACAUAGAACACCUAUUGCGAAGGCAGCUUACUACGCAUAUAUUGACGCUGAGGCACGAAAGCGUGGGGAUCAAACAGGAUUAGAUACCCCGGUAGUCC